AGCGAAUGGAUUAAGAGCUUGCUCUUAUGAAGUUAGCGGCGGACGGGUGAGUAACACGUGGGUAACCUGCCCAUAAGACUGGGAUAACUCCGGGAAACCGGGGCUAAUACCGGAUAAUAUUUUGAACUGCAUGGUUCGAAAUUGAAAGGCGGCUUCGGCUGUCACUUAUGGAUGGACCCGCGUCGCAUUAGCUAGUUGGUGAGGUAACGGCUCACCAAGGCAACGAUGCGUAGCCGACCUGAGAGGGUGAUCGGCCACACUGGGACUGAGACACGGCCCAGACUCCUACGGGAGGCAGCAGUAGGGAAUCUUCCGCAAUGGACGAAAGUCUGACGGAGCAACGCCGCGUGAGUGAUGAAGGCUUUCGGGUCGUAAAACUCUGUUGUUAGGGAAGAACAAGUGCUAGUUGAAUAAGCUGGCACCUUGACGGUACCUAACCAGAAAGCCACGGCUAACUACGUGCCAGCAGCCGCGGUAAUACGUAGGUGGCAAGCGUUAUCCGGAAUUAUUGGGCGUAAAGCGCGCGCAGGUGGUUUCUUAAGUCUGAUGUGAAAGCCCACGGCUCAACCGUGGAGGGUCAUUGGAAACUGGGAGACUUGAGUGCAGAAGAGGAAAGUGGAAUUCCAUGUGUAGCGGUGAAAUGCGUAGAGAUAUGGAGGAACA
rnacentral:rRNA from 1 species